rnacentral:rRNA from 1 species
CGGAUUGAAAUGGGGGAAACCCUGAGCAGCAACGCCGCGUGAGUGAUGACGGCCUUCGGGUUGUAAAGCUCUGUCUUCAGGGACGAUAAUGACGGUACCUGAGGAGGAAGCCACGGCUAACUACGUGCCAGCAGCCGCGGUAAUACGUAGGUGGCGAGCGUUGUCCGGAUUUACUGGGCGUAAAGGGAGCGUAGGCGGACUUUUAAGUGAGAUGUGAAAUACCUGGGCUCAACUUGGGUGCUGCAUUUCAAACUGGAAGUCUAGAGUGCAGGAGAGGAGAAUGGAAUUCCUAGUGUAGCGGUGAAAUGCGUAGAGAUUAGGAAGAACACCAGUGGCGAAGGCGAUUCUCUGGACUGUAACUGACGCUGAGGCUCGAAAGCGUGGGGAGCAAACAGGAUUAGAUACCCUGG